ACUUAUAUAGUAUAACUAUUAUAUUUGACUUCCAAUCAAAAGAUCUAAAUAUUUAGUAUAAGUA
rnacentral:tRNA from 1 species